CGGAUGCUAACGCAAUGUGAUUU
rnacentral:snRNA from 1 species